AUCGCUUCUCGGCCUUUUGGCUAAGAUCAAGUGUAGUAUCUGUUCUUAUCAGUUUAAUAUCUGAUACGUCCUCUACCCGAGGACUAAUAUAUUAAUCUGAUUUUUGGAACAGGGAGACGGAAGAGGGGCUUGCUCCGUCCGCUCCCGCGAUCGAUCGACCGGUAUUGCAGUGACUCCAGGAACGGUGCACAUCCC